AUCACACUUCAUUAGAAAAUUAUUUUACAUUGUCCACGUUAUAACCGACCGGAGGGCAAAAAAAGAAAAACGUUCCGCAGAAGUUAUGACGUUCAUUAGGCGGAAAGUGGAACGGUUCACCAUUAGCGAAAUGCAUUUUACAAGCUUCGUCUAUAAAUUAUACGAGGUACAUGCAACCGAGAUUAGUGGUAGAGCAAUUGUUGUUAUCAACUGGAAUAUUACAGCUUCUUCUGUGGUUUAUUUUUGCGAAUUAAAAAUACGCAGUGAAUUGAGCUGGAAGAUAUUUGAAAAUGCAACCUAUAUUGUUAGGAACCACACGUUGGAAGCUACUAUGGUGUACCGUUGCCUUACCCGUUUCUUGAUCCAGAGCAAAAAAGUUGUACCUGUGGCCAGUGACACGACUAGCUCUUAUUCCGACGCCAUCUACAGAAGUUUCUAGAAAUAUUAAUACAACUUAGUUACACUGGGAUAGGAGACACUUCAAACAUACCAACAAAAUAAGGGUUUACUAGACUUUUAACUGGGUUUUGCGUCUGCAACUUUGAAAUAAUUAAUUGAAAAAUAAUACUAAAUGAUCACUAUUGAGCAUACAAUGUCACUGUAUUCAGAAAUCAGAGCGUUAAA